GACGAACGCUGGCGGCGUGCUUAACACAUGCAAGUCGAACGGAAAGGCCCUGCUUUUGUGGGGUGCUCGAGUGGCGAACGGGUGAGUAACACGUGAGUAACCUGCCCUUGACUUUGGGAUAACUUCAGGAAACUGGGGCUAAUACCGGAUAGGAGCUCCUGCUGCAUGGUGGGGGUUGGAAAGUUUCGGCGGUUGGGGAUGGACUCGCGGCUUAUCAGCUUGUUGGUGGGGUAGUGGCUUACCAAGGCAUUGACGGGUAGCCGGCCUGAGAGGGUGACCGGCCACCAUGGGACUGAGAUACGGCCCAGACGCCUACGGGAGGCAGCAGUGGGGAAUAUUGCACAACGGGCGGAAGCCUGAUGCAGCAACGCCGCGUUCGGGAUGACGGCCUUCGGGUUGUAAACCGCUUUCGCCUGUGACGAAGCGUGAGUGACGGUAAUGGGUAAAGAAGCACCGGCUAACUACGUG
rnacentral:rRNA from 1 species